rnacentral:rRNA from 1 species
GAUGAACGCUGGCGGCGUGCCUAAUACAUGCAAGUCGAGCGAACAGACGAGGAGCUUGCUCCUCUGACGUUAGCGGCGGACGGGUGAGUAACACGUGGAUAACCUACCUAUAAGACUGGGAUAACUUCGGGAAACCGGAGCUAAUACCGGAUAAUAUAUUGAACCGCAUGGUUCAAUAGUGAAAGACGGUUUUGCUGUCAGUUAUGGAUGGAUCCGCGCCUCAUUAGCUCGUUGGUAGGGUAGCGGCUUACCAAGGCGACGGCGCGUAGCCGGCCUGAGGGGGUGACCGGCCACAUUGGGACGGCGAUACGGCCCAGACUCCUACGGGAGGCAGCAGUGGGGAAUAUUGCACAAUGGGCGGAAGCCUGAUGCAGCAACGCCGCGUGCGGGAUGACGGCCUUCGGGUUGUAAACCGCUUUCGCCUGUGACGAAGCGUGAGUGACGGUAAUGGGUAAAGAAGCACCGGCUAACUACGUG